AACAAACGCUGGCGGCGUGCCUAAUACAUGCAAGUCGAACGGGGAAAGCUUUCGGGUGAGUACUAGUGGCGCACGGGUGAGGAACGCGUGGAUAAUCUGCCUUAGAGUGGGGGAUAACUAGUCGAAAGAUUAGCUAAUACCGCAUAAGACCACGAGAGCUGCGGCUUUUGAGGUCAAAGGUUUUUCGCUCUAAGAUGAGUCCGCGUAAGAUUAGCUAGUUGGUGAGGUAACGGCUCACCAAGGCGACGAUCUUUAACUGGUCUGAGAGGAUGAUCAGUCACACUGGAACUGAGACACGGUCCAGACUCCUACGGGAGGCAGCAGUAGGGAAUAUUGCACAAUGGAGCAAACUCUGAUGCAGCGACGCCGCGUGAGUGAUGAAGGCCUUCGGGUCGUAAAGCUCUGUCGCAGGGGAAUAACACAAUGAAGGUACCCUGUAAGAAAGGAUCGGCUAACUUCGUG
rnacentral:rRNA from 1 species